GAUGAACGCGGGCGGCGUGCUUAACACAUGCAAGUCGAACGAACGACUAUUAACAGAACCUUUCGGGGCGAAGAUGAUAGAAGUUAGUGGCGGACGGGUGCGUAACGCGUGGGUAAUCUGCCUUUGUCAAAGGAAUAACUAUUCGAAAGAAUAGCUAAAACCGUAUAAAAUAUUAAUAGGGCAUCCUAAUAAUAUCAAAACUGUGGACAAAGAUGAGCCCGCGUCUGAUUAGCUAGUUGGUGAGAUAAAAGCCCACCAAGGCAACGAUCAGUAGCCGACCUGAGAGGGUGAACGGCCACAUUGGAACUGAGACACGGUCCAAACUCCUACGGGAGGCAGCAGUGGGGAAUAUUGCACAAAUGGGGGGAAACCCCUGAUGCAAGCAAACGC
rnacentral:rRNA from 1 species